UAAGCAUAUCAAUAAGCGGAGGAAAAGAAACCAACAGGGAUUGCCUCAGUAACGGCGAGUGAAGCGGCAACAGCUCAAAUUUGAAAUCUGACCCCUUCGGGGCCCGAGUUGUAAUUUGUAGAGGAUGCUUCGGGUGCGGCGCCGGUCUAAGUUCCUUGGAACAGGACGUCAUAGAGGGUGAGAAUCCCGUAUGCGACCGGCGGUCAACCCCAUGUGAAGCCCCUUCGACGAGUCGAGUUGUUUGGGAAUGCAGCUCAAAAUGGGUGGUAAAUUUCAUCUAAAGCUAAAUACCGGCCAGAGACCGAUAGCGCACAAGUAGAGUGAUCGAAAGAUGAAAAGCACUUUGGAAAGAGAGUCAAACAGUACGUGAAAUUGUUGAAAGGGAAGCGCUUGCAACCAGACCUGCCCCCGGGCGAUCAGCCGUUAUUUUUAGCGGUGCACUCGUCCGCGAUCAGGCCAGCAUCGGUUCGGGCGGCCGGAUAAAGGCCUCGGGAAUGUAGCUCCCCCCGGGGAGUCUUAUAGCCCGAGGUGCAAUGCGGCCAGCCCGGACCGAGGACCGCGCUUCGGCUAGGAUGCUGGCGUAAUGGUUGUAAGCGACCCGUCUUGAAACACGGACC
rnacentral:rRNA from 1 species